rnacentral:lncRNA from 1 species
AGUUAGGGCAAAUACCCCCCUGCACCAACAGUCUACUAGGCUCCCUAAGUAGGGGAUAAUCUCACACGAAGUGCUGGGUAUUGCCACAUCGGUAACAUCCUUAACUAACAGUUAUACACGAGUGAUCUCCAUGACUCCUGGCACAUCAUGGACAAUCUGUACUCCUUGAGGUUAUCUAGUGACCUGGAGUUAAGUUUUACAUUGUUCUCUAU